CUCUCUUAUCUCUUCAUGGCUCUCCAACAUAGUGCUGUCAUCUUUUUCUAACUUGAGACACAUCUAUAGAAGAGAUUAAACAAUACUGUUAAAGAAGAGAUAGAAUUGGUAAAUGGAGCAGUGCAAAUUGUGCCAGCUAGUAGGAUUUUAGCGAGCUUGUUUUUUAGAGUUGUUUACAAGAAUGGGUUAAUAUGCCUUUUAUUCUUGUUUUCUAGUUAGCACAUCAGUGUGACAUUUUGA
rnacentral:lncRNA from 1 species